UACGUAGGGUGCAAGCGUUGUCCGGAAUUAUUGGGCGUAAAGAGCUCGUAGGCGGUUUGUCGCGUCUGCUGUGAAAACUCGGGGCUCAACCCCGAGCGUGCACCCGAUACUGCCGGGCUUGAGGCAGGUAGGGGAGAUCGGAAUUCCUGGUGUAGCGGUGAAAUGCGCAGAUAUCAGGAGGAACACCGGUGGCGAAGGCGGAUCUCUGGGCCUGUCCUGACGCUGAGGCGCGAAAGCUAGGGGAGCGAACAGG
rnacentral:rRNA from 1 species